UAUGGAGGCGCUGUCAGUGCGAUUGCGUGGGUUAAGUUCCUUGGAAGAGGACAGCAUCGAGGGUGAUACUCCCGUGUAUGCCCGUGCAAUUGUGCGUACGACACGUUUUCUUUGAGUCGCGUUGUUUGGGAAUGCAGCGCAAAGUAGGUGGUAAAUUCCAUCUAAAGCUAAAUAUUGGUGCGAGACCGAUAGCGAACAAGUACCGUGAGGGAAAGAUGAAAAGAACUUUGAAAAGAGAGUUAAAGAGUACCUGAAACUGCUGAAAGGGAAUCGAAUCGUUUCCAGUGUCUAUAAUCUGUGGCAUAUUUCAUUGGCGAGUGUGUGCGUGCAUUGUUUUGGAAGCAGUUUUCUGUUCCUGGCUGUGUUGUGCAUAUGCUUGCUGGUGCCCUGUGUCAUGGUGGGACGUCAGAGUCAAUUCGUAAGUUGCGGGAAAUGGCUAUUGGGGAGGUAGGUCGCUUCGGUGGCUGUUAUAUCCUGAUAGCUAGUAGUCGUGGCUGGGAUUGAGGUGCCUACAACGUGCUUUCGAGUGUCUGGGUGUCUCGUUUGGUAAGUUAUCUUGACAGCUUGCUGUGUUGGUGAUAUUAUCGAGCGAUUGAUGUCUGGUCCAACUUGUUGCCGUUCGGGACUUUGACGAAAUGGAGCGAUCCGUCCCGUCUUGAAACACGGACCAAGGAGUCUAACAUGUGUGCAAGUGUUCGGGUGUGGAAACCCAAACGCGAAAUGAAAGUGAAGGGCAGUUUACUGUCUGAGGUAGGAAACCUUUGUUCUCAAGGGUGGCACUAUCGACCGAUCAUGAACCUUCGUGGUGAAAGAUUUGAGUUUGAGCACAUAUGUUGGUACCCGAAAGAUGGUGAACUAUGCCUGAGUAGGGUGAAGCCAGGGGAAACUCUGGUGGAGGCUCGUAGCGAUUCUGACGUGCAAAUCGAUCGUCAAACUUGGGUAUAGGGGCGAAAGACUAAUCGAACCAUCUAGUAGCUGGUUCCCUCCGAAAUUUCCCUCAGGAUAGCAGCAACUUCUUUUCGAUAGUUUUAUGAGGUAAAGCGAAUGAUUAGAGGCCU
rnacentral:rRNA from 1 species